UACGUAGGGUGCGAGCGUUAAUCGGAAUUACUGGGCGUAAAGCGUGCGCAGGCGGUUAUGUAAGACAGGUGUGAAAUCCCCGGGCUUAACCUGGGAACUGCGUUUGUGACUGCAUAGCUAGAGUACGGUAGAGGGGGAUGGAAUUCCGCGUGUAGCAGUGAAAUGCGUAGAUAUGCGGAGGAACACCGAUGGCGAAGGCAAUCCCCUGGACCUGUACUGACGCUCAUGCACGAAAGCGUGGGGAGCAAACAGG
rnacentral:rRNA from 1 species